rnacentral:rRNA from 1 species
GACGAACUGUGCAAACGUUAUUCGGAAUCACUGGGCUUAAAGGGUGCGUAGGCGGUCUUUUAAGUAGGGUGUGAAAGCCUCUGGCUCAACCAGAGAACUGCGCCCUAAACUAGAAGGCUUGAGUGAGGUAGGGGUGUGUGGAACUUCCAGUGGAGCGGUGAAAUGUGUUGAUAUUGGAAGGAACGCCGGUGGCGAAAGCGACACACUGGACCUUACCUGACGCUGAGGAGCGAAAGCGUGGGGAGCGAACAGG